UAAAUAUAUCACCAAUAAAGAGGAGUUUAUUAUAUCCUCUAAUCACCCCAACCAAACCAGAAAAUAAUUCAUCUUCAAAAUCAACAAACAUAAACAAUUAUAUACCGGUAAAACUCUAUAGGGUCUUCUCGUCCCAUACAAACAUUUAAGUGUUUUAACUUAAAAACCAAAUUCAAUAACAUUUCAAAGGGACAGUAUGUGCCUCGUCAAACCAUUCAUUCCAGCCCUCAAUUAAAAGACUAAUGAUUAUGCUACCUUUGCACGGUCAAUAUACCGCGGCCCUUCAAAAACUCCAGCGGGCAGGUAAUACUUCAAAUUAAUUCCAAGAAGAGAUGUUUUUGUUAAACAGGCGGGCACAAAAAUUUUGCCUAGUUCCCUAAAUAAACCUAACUGGUUUCUCAUUAAUUUUUAAAAAUUUAAUUUACUAAUUCCACCAUUAUUACGAAAAAUAAAUAAUUAUAAUAAAUAUUCCAAUAUAAAACUUAAAUUCAACAUAAAUCAAACCAAAAACUAAAUAAAGUUAUAACACACUUAAAAUGAUAGUUACCAUAAAACCCACAAAAAUUAAUAAGAACAAUAUUAUAAAAUUAUGUCAUGAAGCUAAUCCCCCAAAACAUUAGUGCCAAAUAAAGAAAACCGU
rnacentral:rRNA from 1 species